rnacentral:rRNA from 1 species
GAUGAACGCUGGCGGCGUGCCUAAUACAUGCAAGUCGAGCGAACGGACGAGAAGCUUGCUUCUCUGAUGUUAGCGGCGGACGGGUGAGUAACACGUGGAUAACCUACCUAUAAGACUGGGAUAACUUCGGGAAACCGUAGCUAAUACCGGAUAAUAUUUUGAACCGCAUGGUUCAAAAGUGAAAGACGGUCUUGCUGUCACUUAUAGAUGGAUCCGCGCUGCAUUAGCUAGUUGGUAAGGUAACGGCUUACCAAGGCAACGAUGCAUAGCCGACCUGAGAGGGUGAUCGGCCACACUGGAACUGAGACACGGUCCAGACUCCUACGGGAGGCAGCAGUAGGGAAUCUUACGCAAUGGGCGAAAGCCUGACGGAGCAACGCCGCGUGAGUGAUGAAGGUCUUCGGAUCGUAAAACUCUGUUAUUAGGGGAGAACAUAUGUGUAAGUAACUGUGCACAUCUUGACGGUACCUAAUCAGAAAGCCACGGCUAACUACGUG